CAAUAUUCAGUUUGCUACCGACUGUGGACGAAAUCGGUCAAUAAUCCUUUGUCUCUCAAUAAUCAUUGUGACCCUUAUAGCAAGUGCAAAUGUAGUUUGUGAAAGUGUAGUGAAGAAGUCUUUUUACGGAUUUAUGGGUAGAAAAGUUAAAGCGGAUGGGGCGCCAGCUUGCAGAAAACUGUUAAGAAUGAUCUCUAAUGUAGCACUACGCAGCUUUCGAUAAGUUUAGCAUUACUUUGCCUCUGGCUUUCUUGUAAAUGUAGAACUUUUAAUCCCAAAUUCAUCAACUGUCUCGUAGGGUGGAUUUGUUAUCGAUUGAGCUAUUGGUUAUAUUUUAAACUUUGGGAUUAUUUUGGCUUUACUUUGGGAGUUGGAUUUUUUUAUUGUAAAGCAUGCAGUUGAGAAAAGCGUUUAUUUUUAAAUCAUCAUUUACGAAGCGCACAAAACUCAUUAUUUUAUGUGAUUUGAAUAAAUUUUUGAAGGUUUGACAAAAUUUUCACGGCAUUUAGAGCGCACUCUUCUUUACUGAACGCACAACUCUGAACUUGUAGAGUAUUUUUCGUUUCUGUUUUUCGUUAUAACACAUUCGCGUCUCACUAUGUCGCACCUUGAAUUACGCUUAGCAUUUAACCCGUGAGCGAAUUAAAGCAUUACGAGGCCCGGGGCUGGAGUUUCAACACUUCACAAAAAAUUCAGCAAAUUUUUUAGGAGCAACAUUUUACCAAAUGGGUGACUACAACGCAACUGCACCGAUGCCCACUAAAACCAAGUGCACUUGAUUUCUAUUGCCGCCAAGAAAAAGGUCAGCUUUAUGUGACAUUUUGCCUGUUAGUAUGGCAAAGAACAUCGUGAAAAAGAAGUCAAUAGAUCAUAGAUCACACAUCUUUCCAAUCAGGACAUUCUUAUAUGUUAUUUGAAAAUUGUCUAAAAACGUUCAAUUGGUUAAUUUAAUAGCUACUACUUUCAUAAGCUUGCAAGAAAUAAAAUUAAGCCCAAUGGAAGGAAAUGUUUAAUGACAAUAUUUGCAGGACUUCCAUGAAAAAGAAGACAAUUUUAUCGUUCACAUAUCUAACAUUUCACCAAUUUUCGCCGACUAGUAUCAAUCUUUGAUGCAUGAAACAGAAAAUGAGAUAAGGGCUAUCCACCAGAAAAACGAAAACUACCAAAAUCGAUGAAAACGCAAAUAAAAACUUGGUUGUAUAAAUGGUUUCAGGCUACCACAAAUAAAAUGUUUUUUUUUCACUA